rnacentral:rRNA from 1 species
UCCGUAGGCGGGCGUCUAAGUCAGUGGUGAAAUCUUACAGCUCAACUGUAAAAUUGCCAUUGAUACUGGAUGUCUUGAAUUAGUGUGAAGUGGUUAGAAUGUGUAGUGUAGCGGUGAAAUGCAUAGAUAUUACACAGAAUACCAAUUGCGAAGGCAGAUCACUAACACUAUAUUGACGCUGUGGGACGAAAGCGUGGGGAGCGAACAGGAUUAGAUACCCUGGUAGUCC